ACCGUUCACGGUUUCCUUGGCAACUCGCGCUAGUUUCCCCGCUCGACUCGGGAAGGUUGAUAGUAAAAAAUAGUUAAUAGGAUUGAACGGUUAGUUUAACGCGUUGUAUUUAUUUUUCUUCUAAAGUUUUUAUUCCAAAUUCAUAUCAUACUCUGGGGUCUCGUGAUAAAAUAAGGAUCGGCAGCAGGAAAACAUUUCCGCAGAUCAGGAAACGGCACAUGGGUAGUGACUAAGAACAAAUCCAGACCGGCCGCACUGAAAACGUUCUGGCAGACCUGAUGUGUAAUAUUCUCCAAGGACUGUAAGGGAUGGCGUUCCAAUGAGCUGGUCGUCCCACAAGACCCCAUCAGAGCUGAGAAGUGUUCAGAGAUAAUGCAACAUAGACUCGGGCGUAAAAUUGAACCACGGAAAGGGAGAAGUCCACAAGGAGCACUGAUAGUUCUGAUGUUGGUGCGUACACAUCCAGAGGAAGAGGCAGAGGAGGAAGAGUCCUUCAUCCCAGAAUGCAUCGGCGGGCGCAGCGCAGCAUUAGUCAGCAGACUGCAGCAGCCUGUGUGUCCCGUGUGUACAGGACUGGACCCAGACUGACUCCUGGAUGCUGAGAGUGCUGAUGAGAGCUGACAGUGAGAUGACUAACAGCAGACAGAUGCGGAUAGAUGGGUUCUGCCAAGGUACAGCUAUCAAACAGAGCAGUUAGAACAGCAAGCUGAGAAACGAAGUCCCAGUCAGGCUCCCUUUUUUCUUUAGCUUGAGCUUAUUUUACUCAUAUCAAGUUGUAAGUGCAGCUUUACUAGUUUUAUUUAAAAAAUCGUACAGAAUAGUAAAGGGGCAAUUAACCUAAAAGUGCACAUUACAAACAGUUUGCAUGAUUCUUAAUUGGAAGGAAUGGUUCUAUAUGUUACCAAGAUAUUUCAGAACCAUUUGAAAGAUUAAGCAGUAAAUCAUAGGAAGGUCAAAUAGUUCUU